UCCUUCGGGAUGAAGUUGUCGCUGACGAGUGGCGGACGGGUGAGUAACGCGUGGGAAUAUGCCCUUCUCUAAGGAAUAGCCUCUGGAAACGGAGAGUAAUACCUUAUACGCCCUUUGGGGGAAAGAUUUAUCGGAGAAGGAUUAGCCCGCGUUAGAUUAGGUAGUUGGUGGGGUAAUGGCCUACCAAGCCUACGAUCUAUAGCUGGUUUGAGAGGAUGAUC
rnacentral:rRNA from 1 species